GUCAAUAGCCUAACGGCUGAACCAGCAACUUGGAGGAAUGUAUAGCAAUAGCUGAUUGCACCAACAAACAGUUGAUGCAAAAUCGACUCUGUCGAAUAAAAUUCUAGGUAGAAUUAUGAUAAUGACAUUGUCUACCUAUGUGUCUUGACCAAAUUACGUGCCAGCAGUCGCGGUAAUACGUAGAAGACUAGUGUUAUUCAUCUUUAAUAGGUUUAAAGGGUACCUAGACGGCAAAUCAAGCCUUAACCAGGGACUAAUUUGCUAGAGUUACUUAUGAGGGGGUAUUAAAGUACUGCUGGUGUAGAGAUGAAAUUCUGUCAUACCUCUUUUCGAAAGAAAAACAAUGGCACAGGUAUAGGUGAAAGCAUCCCCUUAUGUGAUAACUGACGUUGAAGGACGAAGGCUUUGUGUCGCGAACAGGAUUAGAUACCCCAGUAGUCAAAGCAGAAAAUGAUGAAUGUCAUAGGUUAGAUAUUCUUUAUCCUAUAAAUGAAAGUGUAAGCAUUCCACCUCAAGAGUAAUUUGGCAACAUUGGAACUGAAAUCAUUAGACCGUUUCUGAAACCAGUAGUGAAGUAUGUUGUUUAAUUUGAUGUUCCGCAAAAAACCUUACCACAAUUUGAAUAUUUAGAUCUUUUUUUUUUAUUAUUUAGAGAAAAAAGUAUAUUUACAAGCGUUGCACGGCUGUCUUCAGUUAAUGUCGUGAGACUUUGGUUAGUUCCAUUAAAUUAACGUAAACCCUUACUUUAUUUUUAUAUAGAGUUGUUCCCCGCUAGAUUGGAUAUGAUAACAGGGACUAAGACAAGUCAUCAUGGCCUAAAUAUUG
rnacentral:rRNA from 1 species